rnacentral:rRNA from 1 species
CCUUCGGGUUGUAAAGCACUUUUAUCGGGAGCGAAAUACCAUUGGCUAAUAACCGAUGGGGCUGACGGUACCCGAGGAAUAAGCACCGGCUAACUUCGUGCCAGCAGCCGCGGUAAUACGAAGGGUGCAAGCGUUAAUCGGAAUUACUGGGCGUAAAGGGUGCGUAGGCGGUUAGUUAAGUCUGUUGUGAAAUCCCCGGGCUCAACCUGGGAAUGGCAAUGGAUACUGGCUAGCUAGAGUGUGUCAGAGGAUGGUGGAAUUUCCGGUGUAGCGGUGAAACGCGUAGAGAUCGGAAGGAACAUCAGUGGCGAAGGCGGCCAUCUGGGACAACACUGACGCUGAAGCACGAAAGCGUGGGGAGCAAACAGGAUUAGAUACCCUGGUAGUCCACGCCCUAAACGAUGCGAACUGGAUGUUGGUCUCAACUCGGAGAUCAGUGUCGAAGCUAACGCGUUAAGUUCGCCGCCUGGGGAGUACGGUCGCAAGACUGAAACUCAAAGGAAUUGACGGAAUCACUA